AUUUUGAAGAGAGGUACAGCAAUCUAAGCAGUCAAUGGAUGCGGGGUGUUGGAAACAGCGAGGUGAGGAAAAUGACAGCAGGCGAGUCGGCGAGCUGGCGUACCUGUCGAUGGAAUCUUCCCCUCUUGUGGUUGCUAUCGUUUCCAUUGGAUUGUUUAUUAUUGGUUAUGCGAAAAAAAUGUUCAAGCUUUUGCAAAGAACAGUAAACUCAAUUAAAUGAAAAGACAUGCCACAUACUCAGUGUGGAGUUGUAUUCUUCCAGGGAAUCGACCAGAAGAAUCGCAAGAGAAUUUAAUGGGAGGAUGUUAUCCAUAGCGUAGGUACACAGCGAUGGUCUACGAUGAAGAGAGAGCUUGUCGAAACUUUAUGCUAUCUCGUACCACCGACUGAUUCUCGAAAUCCGGAACAUGCGACGGAUAUGAAGUUAUUGGCACUACGAUAUACUAAAGAUUGUUUUUUUCAGCAAGGAAAACUGAUCGGUGAAUACAGGCCACAAUGUAGCAUUGCUUGAUCGUUGAAAAUGUCGAGUGUGUACUACGCUGACCUGUAACACAUACUGCUCAAUAAAAUGCGAUUUAAUUUUGUAUGUUUUUUGGAAUGUA
rnacentral:lncRNA from 1 species